rnacentral:rRNA from 1 species
UACAGAGGGGGCCAGCGUUAUUCGGAAUUAUUGGGCGUAAAGGGCGCGUAGGCGGCUUUGCGUGUCUUUCGUGAAAUCCCUCGGCUCAACUGAGGACGUGCGGAAGAAACUGCAGGGCUGGAGUCCGGGAGAGGAGGGUGGAAUUCCCAGUGUAGCGGUGAAAUGCGUAGAUAUCAGGAAGAACACCAAUGGCGAAAGCAGCUCUCUGGGACGGUACUGACGCUGAGACGCGAAAGCGUGGGGAGCGAACAGG